UAUGAGAUACAAACGACCGUAUAACAAAAUAUAAUCUUAGAACUAUUAUUGUCUUAUUCUAAUACACUAUGUGUGAGGCAAAAGCAACUUGCUUAAAAAAAUGAAUAAGUAAAAGCGAACAGCUCAAUAUAUGAAAAAAAAUGCUUGCUCCCGGCAUUAGGUGUGACGAACAGAGCGAUAGUCUGUAAACAAAAUAAAUAAACAUAAAACUAAAUAACACUUAAACUAAACAGCUGUUAAUAACAAUAACAAACAGAGAACAUUUAUAUCACAGAAUGUUAACGAAUUCCCCUAUGGGAGCCUGGGAGUGUUUCCCUGUAGAAAUCCGGUAGUAUAAGCUGAACGGGAUCGUCGUUGUCAAUUAAUUGGUUCAAAAUACCUAUUGGAGACAGUGUAUUUUCAUGGAGAGCUAAAUUAUCAGCAAAUUUCCUCUGGAGCCGUAAGGCGUAUUUGCAGAGUGGUACCACAGCAGAUUGUCCAUAAAUGUAUGUAUUAGAAAAUCGUUUUGUAUAGCUUUGAAAAUUCCUGCCAAUACAUUUCCUUAGUAUUCUUCGCUCAAAAAUUUCCAAUUCCCUGGCCACCGUUGGAGAGAUAGAGAACCAUAUGGGGAAUGCAUAUAUGAGUGUCGGCCUGAUAGCUACUUUAUAAAGAAGAAGUUUUGUCGCCUGUGGAAGAUAUUUGCUGUUCAUUAAACCGGAAAACAUACCCGAUAUUCUCUUGGCCCUCGUUAAGAACAAUCUGGCAUGAUUAUUAAAUUUCAUUAACUUGUUAAAAUUAACGCCCAGGUACUUAAUGGUGUCCUUAAAUGGAAUAUCCAUACCGUCAAGAGAGAGCUGCAAAAGUUUGCUCUCUGGAACCACAAAUCUGGCACAUUUACCAGAAGCAUUUCUCAGGCAGAUGGCUUCAGAUUUGGCUGCAUUAAUCCUGAUUCCCCAAGAUUUGUAAAAAGAAUUUACAACACCAAGAUGGAACGCCGCGUUAGUAAGCGCUUGUAUUGGAGAUUCAUUAUGUGAGUAGAUUAAACAAUCGUCUGCAUACAAUAUAGCCUUUGAGUUCUCAGUUGAAUGCGGAAAAUCGUGGAGAAAUAAAUUGAAUAGAAAGGGUGCCAAAACACUACCCUGGGGGACACCACUCUUUACGCUAUCGAAACUGGAGGAUGAACCGUUUAUUUGAACACAAAAUUUACGGUCGGAGAAAUAACUUUGAAAUAGCUUUAUAAGAUAAGGAU